UUUGAUCCUGGCUCAGAUUGAACGCUGGCGGCAUGCCUUACACAUGCAAGUCGAACGGCAGCACGGGGGCAACCCUGGUGGCGAGUGGCGAACGGGUGAGUAAUGCAUCGGAACGUGCCCAGUGGUGGGGGAUAACCCGGCGAAAGCCGGGCUAAUACCGCAUACGACCUAAGGGUGAAAGCGGGGGACCGUAAGGCCUCGCGCUAUUGGAGCGGCCGAUGUCUGAUUAGCUAGUUGGCGGGGUAAAAGCCCACCAAGGCGACGAUCAGUAGCUGGUCUGAGAGGACGACCAGCCACACUGGGACUGAGACACGGCCCAGACUCCUACGGGAGGCAGCAGUGGGGAAUUUUGGACAAUGGGCGCAAGCCUGAUCCAGCCAUGCCGCGUGCGGGAAGAAGGCCUUCGGGUUGUAAACCGCUUUUGGCAGGAACGAAACGGCGCGAGCCAAUACCUCGCGCUAAUGACGGUACCUGCAGAAUAAGCACCGGCUAACUACGUGCCAGCAGCCGCGGUAAUACGUAGGGUGCAAGCGUUAAUCGAAAUUACUGGGCGUAAAGCGUACGCAGGCGGCUUUGCAAGACAGGUGUGAAAUCCCCGGGCCUAACCUGGGAACUGCAUUUGUGACUGCAUGGCUAGAGUCUGUCAGAAGGGGGGUGGAUUCCACCGUGUAGCAGUGAAACUGCGUAGAGAUGUGGAAGAACACCGAUGGCGAGAGGCAGCCCCCUGGGAUGAGACUGACGCUCAUGUACGAAAGCGUGGGGAGCAAACAGGACUUAGAUACCCUGGUAGUCCACGCCCUGAAACGACUGUGCUACUAAGUUGUCCGGGGGGUAACCUCCUUCGGUAACCGCAAGCUAACCGCGUGAACGUAGAGCC
rnacentral:rRNA from 1 species